rnacentral:lncRNA from 1 species
AUAAAUAAAUUUAUAUAUAUUAAUCUAUUUAUGAUCUAAAUUUAAUUAUAUCAAAUACGAAUAUGUUUAAAGCAAAAAUUGUUUAUGGAUCCGGUUGAUGCAUAUAAAUUGCCACUCUUAACAGCAACCAUCCCUCCGUCGCCGGCACGCAUACGCCUGCCUCCCUCACUAACUCCGCCCCAGAACAGCGACCGAAGUGAAAAAGAAACGGGACCGCCUUGCCGCUGCAGUGGGAGUAGCGGUGCUGGUACUCUUACUCGACAGGCCAACGACACCUAACCUGCCGGUAGACUCUGCCAAAUUGAAUCAGAUACCACACGUAUUGGCGUAUAGCUUCCGAAUUGCGCCAAACCUUUUGCCUACCUACAGAAACCGCGAUUGGAUUGGAUAGGGACCGAACCCGAAGGCCAAAUAUAUGUUUAGAACCGUGUGGAGCACUCGAGGAAUCCAGGUACGGCCAACUAAAGAGGGAGAACAGAGAAGUGUGCAAGAGGAGGAAAAAUCGUGCUCUUUGCCAAUUAAGAGAGAGAGAGAG